rnacentral:rRNA from 1 species
AAAGCACUUUAAGUUGGGAGGAAGGGCAGUAAGUUAAUACCUUGCUGUUUUGACGUUACCAACAGAAUAAGCACCGGCUAACUUCGUGCCAGCAGCCGCGGUAAUACGAAGGGUGCAAGCGUUAAUCGGAAUUACUGGGCGUAAAGCGCGCGUAGGUGGUUCAGCAAGUUGGAUGUGAAAUCCCCGGGCUCAACCUGGGAACUGCAUCCAAAACUACUGAGCUAGAGUACGGUAGAGGGUGGUGGAAUUUCCUGUGUAGCGGUGAAAUGCGUAGAUAUAGGAAGGAACACCAGUGGCGAAGGCGACCACCUGGACUGAUACUUGACACUGAGGUGCGAAUAGCGUGGGGAGCAAACAGGAUUAGAUACCCUGGUAGUCCACGCCGUAAACGAUGUCGACUACCCGUUGGGAUCCUUGAGAUCUUAGUGGCGCAGCUAACGCGAUAAGUCGACCGCCUGGGGAGUACGGCCGCAAGGUUAAAACUCAAAUGAAUUGACGGGGGCCCGCACAAGCGGUGGAGCAUGUGGUUUAAUUCCAAGCAACGCGAACAACCUUACCUGGCCUUGACAUGCUGAGAACUUUCCAAAGAUGGAUUGGUGCCUUCGGGAACUCAGACACAGGUGCUGCAUGGCUGUCGUCCGCUCGUGUCGUGAGAUGUUGGGUUAAGUCCCGUAACGAGCGCAACCCUUGUCCUUAGUUACCAGCACCUCGGGUGGGCACUCUAAGGAGACUGCCGGUGACAAACCGGAGGAAGGUGGGGAUGACGUCAAGUCAUCAUGGCC